GUUUACAGCCAUAGCACCCUGAACAUGCCUGAUCUUGUCUGAUCUUAGAAGCUAAGCAGGGUCGGGCCUGGUUAGUACUUGGAUGGGAGAAAGAAGAAAAUACUAAACU
ensembl:rRNA 5S_rRNA 5S ribosomal RNA